rnacentral:rRNA from 1 species
AGAGUUUUGAUCAUGGCUCAGAUUGAACGCUGGCGGCAGGCCUAACACAUGCAAGUCGAACGGUAACAGGAAACAGCUUGCUGUUUCGCUGACGAGUGGCGGACGGGUGAGUAAUGUCUGGGAAACUGCCUGAUGGAGGGGGAUAACUACUGGAAACGGUAGCUAAUACCGCAUAACGUCGCAAGACCAAAGAGGGGGACCUUCGGGCCUCUUGCCAUCAGAUGUGCCCAGAUGGGAUUAGCUAGUAGGUGGGGUAACGGCUCACCUAGGCGACGAUCCCUAGCUGGUCUGAGAGGAUGACCAGCCACACUGGAACUGAGACACGGUCCAGACUCCUACGGGAGGCAGCAGUGGGGAAUAUUGCACAAUGGGCGCAAGCCUGAUGCAGCCAUGCCGCGUGUAUGAAGAAGGCCUUCGGGUUGUAAAGUACUUUCAGCGGGGAGGAAGGGAGUAAAGUUAAUACCUUUGCUCAUUGACGUUACCCGCAGAAGAAGCACCGGCUAACUCCGUGCCAGCAGCCGCGGUAAUACGGAGGGUGCAAGCGUUAAUCGGAAUUACUGGGCGUAAAGCGCACGCAGGCGGUUUGUUAAGUCAGAUGUGAAAUCCCCGGGCUCAACCUGGGAACUGCAUCUGAUACUGGCAAGCUUGAGUCUCGUAGAGGGGGGUAGAAUUCCAGGUGUAGCGGUGAAAUGCGUAGAGAUCUGGAGGAAUACCGGUGGCGAAGGCGGCCCCCUGGACGAAGACUGACGCUCAGGUGCGAAAGCGUGGGGAGCAAACAGGAUUAGAUACCCUGGUAGUCCACGCCGUAAACGAUGUCGACUUGGAGGUUGUGCCCUUGAGGCGUGGCUUCCGGAGCUAACGCGUUAAGUCGACCGCCUGGGGAGUACGGCCGCAAGGUUAAAACUCAAAUGAAUUGACGGGGGCCCGCACAAGCGGUGGAGCAUGUGGUUUAAUUCGAUGCAACGCGAAGAACCUUACCAGGUCUUGACAUCCACGGAAGUUUUCAGAGAUGAGAAUGUGCCUUCGGGAACCGUGAGACAGGUGCUGCAUGGCUGUCGUCAGCUCGUGUUGUGAAAUGUUGGGUUAAGUCCCGCAACGAGCGCAUCCCUUAUCCUUUGUUGCCAGCGGUCCGGCCGGGAACUCAAAGGAGACUGCCAGUGAUAAACUGGAGGAAGGUGGGGAUGACGUCAAGUCAUCAUGGCCCUUACGACCAGGGCUACACACGUGCUACAAUGGCGCAUACAAAGAGAAGCGACCUCGCGAGAGCAAGCGGACCUCAUAAAGUGCGUCGUAGUCCGGAUUGGAGUCUGCAACUCGACUCCAUGAAGUCGGAAUCGCUAGUAAUCGUGGAUCAGAAUGCCACGGUGAAUACGUUCCCGGGCCUUGUACACACCGCCCGUCACACCAUGGGAGUGGGUUGCAAAAGAAGUAGGUAGCUUAACCUUCGGGAGGGCGCUUACCACUUUGUGAUUCAUGACUGGGGUGAAGUCGUAACAAGGUAACCGUAGGGGAACCUGCGGUUG